UUAUAAAGAAAUAGAGGCGGCGAUGUGGAUGGAGAUCGACCGCUGCUCUCCUCCAUUUAUUUAUACCCUUGGGAGCACAUGACCCCCCGAGAUAUUUUGGCGUCCCUUCGGCUUUCCCUCUCCAUUCUCUUCCGGUUUUUGGAUCCAAUCUCUCUCUCUCUCGGCAUUCUUGUAGAACGUUUGAUACGUCGUUGCUCUGGCUUUCGCUUCUUGUUGGAUCGGUUGUCGCGGUUAUGCGUGAAUUUGCUGUCGGAUUGUGGCCGGAGGGUCGAUCAGUUUGAGUCUGAGAAAUGGAAGAGAGAGAGAGAGAGGGAGAGGGAGAGUUAUCGAGAGGAUCUGAGGGUGGAAGUCUUUAGCCUCGGGAGGGGAUCUCAGAAUGGUAGUCUGUGGAAGGAAAACUUGGUGAGGGGCAAAGUCUUUAACUGAAGUCCCACGAAGACUAACAAUGUGAGGUUGAGUGUUGAUAGCACAGAGGAUGUGCAAGACCUUCAUCCUUGUUGUCAAUGCAGGUGGACGUAACAAGCUCGAGGCGGCAACUGCAUAACUUGCUAGAAAUUCAAUGUGAACCGUGCCGAACCAGCUGGUUCGAGGCGUAUUGAAUUGGACUGAUCAGUUACUGCAUGGUUCAGGGGUUCUCGUCAAAAUGAUAACCUCCUCCCCCUCCAGAUGCUUCAAACCCUUGCCUCCCCUCUCUUUUGAAUUUCAAUCAGGGUGAAGUGAGCAUACCUAUGACUUUCUUGCAAGUUAUGCAGUUGCUGCCUCAAGCUUGCUGCCUCCCUUUGCCAGAACUAGUGAGUACAGUGGAUAAAGUUUAGCCUAUGCAACAGAUUCUUUUAAAAUACUAUAUUACUGCUAUGGAGUGAUUAUGUAUUACAGUAACCAGGUUCAAUAAAGAAACAUUCUGUUAGAUCACUUAUAAUCUGAAGUUUGUUCCUCCAGUUUUUCAUCAAAUCUAUUACAAAUCCAGUUUCAAAGCAUCAAGGUUAAAUACUUCUGAACCUCUACUAGAUGACUUACUGCUGAUGUAAACUACAAUUUCUCAACUAUAACUUUUUGAAUCCUUAUUGUUAUGCAUGCAUGCUGUAGUGAUCUUUGAAUGCUCCUGUUUAAAUAGUUGAUGAGCUAUUCUGAUACUUUUGGUGCUUUGCCUAACAUCUGUUGCAUAACCACCCACCCAGUCCCCAACAAAAAAAGAAAAAAAGAAAAAGAAAAAUCAACACACAAAAGAAAAAAGGAAAAUAAUAUAUUUGAUAAGGAGACUGUUGACAGGAAGAGGGGAGGAGGAUAAGAUUUGCAUUUAAAUUAUUUGUAUGAUUUAUUCAUGUUGCGUGACUAAUAAAUGGUGUAAUUUCCGCAUCAUUAUUAUGGAAUGUAGAGGCAACAUUCAAAAGCUUCGGUAUCUGGUUUUACGUUUGUUGAAUAUUUAAACAUUACAUGAUUUCUGAUUAUAGAUUCAACAUUUUGAUUGCACUGCAUUAAUCUUUCUAAACAAUCUAAAUUUUCUUAAUUACAUCACAGAAAGAAGUCUCAGGAUCAAGUUCUUCAAAAAGUGGAUCCUAAGCUUGUACUCAGCACCACAUGACAGCAGGUUCUGUAAUACUUUUCUUUAUUAAUGGGCUCAAACCAUAGUAUGCUGUACCGUAUUGAACCAAACGAUACCGGAUGCACCGUACCGUACCAAUUCGGUACCCGUACCGGUACUAGUGGCGUACCGACAUUCGGUAUGCCAAAUAAACUGCAUACCAUACCGUACCGACGCUAUAUUAGUGUGGCAUCGAUACGGGGUCCGGUACCGAGAUGGCGAACUUGGCUCAAACACAACUAUCCCUAAAGAUAUGCAAAAAGUUAUAGCAAGCAAAAGAGAUACAAGCAAGCACGAGAAAUAGCAAUAAAAUAUUUAUUUUACAUGGCUACCUCCAAAUUAUGCAUCUAAAUCAAAAACAUAUUAAAUUUCUUCACUAGAAAUGCCAUGACCAUUUAUAAUGGGAAGGCAAUUCCUUUCUCUUGGAUGGAAGCAUCCUGCACCUCCUAGGAAAUUGCUACUCCACGUGAAAGCUGCAUUUGGUUGUGGUUUGUGGAAUAAGUCAACCUAGAUGAAAUUGGUUUAGUUGGUCCUGACCCUCGUUCUUCCAAAAUAAAAUACUCCACACUAUAAUGUGCAAUAUUUUUCUUUGCUUAGGUGGGAAAAUGGCUUUACAAACUUUUUAAAAAUACUUGUUUUGAUUUCCAAAUAAAUGGUCAUUUUUUUACCAUUUGACAAGUUAAAAUGGAACAAAUGGGCUAAUGGGACCUUUGUUCCAUUUACUCUUCUUUAACCCGCAACCUGUUGUAGACUAAGAGAACCAUAUGAGAACCUAACUCAAGAGAAACCUCAAGAUGGACAUGAAGUUGCAAUGCAUAGUUUGUUAACCUUGACAAAAAACAAUGAGAGAAUGCCUUCAUCUAACCUCCCAUAACCAUUUCUUCAUUUCCCACGUCAUUUGCUUUGUAAUCUUACCUCCGCUUAUCUCACAAUCCUAAAUCUACAUUCUUUUAUUUCUCUCAUUUUGAUCAGUCAUUCCUAUGUCGUGAAACAUAUUCCAUAGUGGGAGUUACUCAUUGGCACCAUUAAUUGGAUCAAGUACUCCAUAUGCAAAGAUUAGUUUGCCAAAGGUAUUUUACACCACAGGUUCUAAUUAAUAUAGAUCAAAGGGAACAUAUGCCACAUGGCUUUUCCAUAAUAUACAGAAAUACCACAGAUGCUUUUUUCAGGGCAGAUGUAUGGACAAAAUGCAACCAGCAAAUCAACAUGGAGAAGUGUAGGAUGACUUAUUGAAAGAGGGAGAGGCACGAUGCCUUCAUGUUGACAUGCUGUAACUACAUUCUUCCUUGGACAAGAAGCAGGUAUGAUCGAAAAAUAAAGAUAGCUUGGAUUCCAUUGACUAUCAUCAUAAUUCAUAAGACCUUCAUGAGGUGGAAGAUCACAUGGAUGACGAAGACAAUGAUUGGGACUUCUAAGGCCAUCAGAGGUUUACGAGUUCAUGAGAUGCAAGUCAAAUAAUAUGCCGGGAUAAAUUUUUAAAGAUCGGUUUAUUGCCUUUUAGAAUGGGUGUCUCUAAUUCCCAAGUUCUUCUUCAAGUUACUACCUCAAUUCGGCUUAAGCAUAAUAUCUUAGUCUCCUGAACAUGUGUAGGAUUGGAUAACUGGUUUGUUCUAACAGGGACCAAGUCAAAUCAAUGAUAUUGCAUUAAUGUAUUUGUUCAAUUUUUGAGACAUUCUCCGCACAUUAAUUCUAUAGUGUGGGAAAUCAAGGUUCUUUAUUGAAAUGAAACAAUUUCUUUCAUAUUUGAUUGGAUAA